rnacentral:ribozyme from 1 species
UGCCCAGCAACUCCUAUCCCUACCUCCACGCGGUACCGGUCGGAAACUAUGAGCAACCUUAGGGAAGAUCGGGUAACCAACCCCGGUGGGAACUUUGGUCGUAGGCUGACAGGGAAGG